GAAUGUGAGGGAAAUCUGGCUUUGACAUCUGUCACCUCAUUGAUUGAUUGCCAGGGUUGAUUCCGCUAUCUGGCUGGCUAGGCCAGUGUCCCCUUCCUCAUUCACUGUUCCAUGUGUGUCCCUCAUGAAGUUGCAGUGCUUGGUCUCAGAGGACAACCUUCCUCUAUAGGGGAGGACUAUUCUUCUGCCAAGGGUGUAAGAGUAGCUAUGCUCCCUUGCUAGAACCUCCAAACAAGCUCUCAAGGUCCAAAUCACUUACCGAUUUUUAGAAAUUAUUGCUAUGAUAUUGUGUUUUCAGAAG
rnacentral:sRNA from 1 species